rnacentral:rRNA from 1 species
CCUACGGGGGGCAGCAGUAGGGAAUUUUGCGCAAUGGGCGAAAGCCUGACGCAGCAACGCCGCGUGAUUGAUUAAGCCCUUCGGGGUGUAAAGAUCUGUCAGUGGGGACGAAACUUGACGGUACCCACAGAGUAAGCACCGGCUAACUCCGUGCCAGCAGCCGCGGUAAUACGGAGGGUGCAAGCGUUGUCCGGAAUCAUUGGGCGUAUAGAGUUCGUAGGUGGCAUAUUAAGGCUGGUGUUAAAUGCAGAAGCUCAACUUCUGUUCGGCAGUGGAUACUGGUGUGCUUGAAUGCGGUGGAGGCAGAGGGAAUUCGUGGUGUAGCGGUGAAAUGCGUAGAUAUGAGGAGGAACAUCGGUGGCGUAGGCGGUUUACUGGGGCGUAAUUGACGCUGAGGAACGAAAGCCGGGGUAGCAAAUGGGAUUAGAUACCCGAGUAGUC